GACGAACGCUGGCGGCGUGCCUAAUACAUGCAAGUCGAACGCAGUUGCGAACGGGUGAGUCCCGCGUAUGUAACUGCCUCAUAGCGGGGGAUAACUAUUGGAAACGAUAGCUAAUACCGCCUACUGUGAGAUGGACCUGCGUUGUAUUAGCUAGUGGGUGAGGUAAAGGCUCACCAAGGCGACGAUACAUAGCCGACCGGAGAGGGUGAUCGGACCAACUGGGAAGGAGAAACGGCCCAGACGCGUACGGGAGGCAGCAGUAGGGAAUCUUCGGGAAUGGACGGAAGACUGACCGAGAAACGACGCGGGAGUGAAGAAGGUUUUCGGAUCGUAAAGAUCUGUUGUUAGAGAAGCGGUAACUAAACAGAAAGGGACGGCUAACUACGUGCCAGCAGCCGCGGUAAUUC
rnacentral:rRNA from 1 species